UUCUCUUACCCUAACAAACAAAAAAAAAAAAAUGAAAAUUGACUCCUAUGGAUUCCAGGAGGCGUAUAUUCAAGAAUUCAGGGUAUACCUACGUUAAAGAUUUGAAGUGUUUUAAUACGAGUACCUACUUAAACCUAAUGUAUAAAUGUAAAUUAACUAUUUCUUGACACGCUGAAUAAUAUAUAGCAUAUAUUAUAAUAAUACUAUCCAGAGGUAUAAUUGUUUUCGG